GGAGGAAAAGAAACCAACCGGGAUUGCCUUAGUAACGGCGAGUGAAGCGGCAAAAGCUCAAAUUUGAAAUCUGGUACCUUCGGUGCCCGAGUUGUAAUUUGGAGAGGGCAACUUUGGGGCCGUUCCUUGUCUAUGUUCCUUGGAACAGGACGUCAUAGAGGGUGAGAAUCCCGUGUGGCGAGGAGUGCGGUUCUUUGUAAAGUGCCUUCGAAGAGUCGAGUUGUUUGGGAAUGCAGCUCUAAGUGGGUGGUAAAUUCCAUCUAAAGCUAAAUAUUGGCGAGAGACCGAUAGCGAACAAGUACAGUGAUGGAAAGAUGAAAAGAACUUUGAAAAGAGAGUGAAAAAGUACGUGAAAUUGUUGAAAGGGAAGGGCAUUUGAUCAGACAUGGUGUUUUGUGCCCUCUGCUCCUUGUGGGUAGGGGAAUCUCGCAUUUCACUGGGCCAGCAUCAGUUUUGGUGGCAGGAUAAAUCCAUAGGAAUGUAGCUUGCCUCGGUAAGUAUUAUAGCCUGUGGGAAUACUGCCAGCUGGGACUGAGGACUGCGACGUAAGUCAAGGAUGCUGGCAUAAUGGUUAUAUGCCGCCCGUCU
rnacentral:rRNA from 1 species